rnacentral:lncRNA from 1 species
UAAAAUCCUAGGGAAAAUCCUUUUCCCAAAUCGUGUCUCUCUGGCGACUCUAUUCACAUCUCCGGUAAUCGUCGCUUCUGGUAGCAGCAACUGUGUUUCUUUAUUUCUUUACAUUUAUUCAAUUAUUUCGGUAUCAUUGUUCUUGUUACUUCCUGUUUGUGUAAACCUAAUGAGAUCUGUGAUUUUAUGAUGGUAUAAGAGCGGGUUUAGGCUUUUUCUAUUCAUCACUAUCUCGCGUUGAUCUAUUUGCUUGAAGGACACAUAUUAUUAGGAAAUCUGCGAUUUCCAUCAGGUAUUGUUUCAUUAUUCUUUCAUCCGCGAUUUUUCCCUUUUUUUUUGUUUUGCCAUCUUCGGAAGUCGUUUACUGAUCUGCAAAUCUUGUUUUUUUAUCAUCUCAAAAUUGCGUUUUUUUCUUCCGAUCCUACUCCUGUGGGCACUUUAUCCCAUCACAAAAUCUCUGCUAUGAUUCAAUCUUCCGCUGCAUUCACUAUCUGAAUUUAUCAUCAGUUGAUACUGGUUAUUUUUGCACUUAUCCUUAAUUUUGUA